rnacentral:lncRNA from 1 species
GAGGCCGCCGGCAGCGCGCAUUUCCGGCGACAGAAAGGAUCCGGUGACGCCUCUUCCCUUCUGUCCUGCCGCCCAGGCUCCGGCUCUCGGUGCGGCAGCGCCAUCUGGUGCCGAGUGUCUCGCCGCCAGCGGAGGGGGCGCGCGCCUUUCGGAACCUUCCAGAGAAAACGCGGCCCCGGUUCUGCUCUGUCCCGCCCUCGGGAAGGGAGCGACCAGAGGCUCCGCCCUGCCGAGUUCCCGCGCAGGAGGCUGUUUGGAAUGAAUCAGAAGGACCUGGGGAGAAUGUCUGUCUUCUGCUGACUGAAAGUGGAGAGAAAAAGAUAGAAGAGAAACAGAAGACUAAGGAACCCUGACAUUGUGAUAGCCCUGUAAGAAUAAUUCCGCUGACACCUUCUAAAGAGCCCUCCCAUCUCCUGCGGCUGCUGUUGUAUUUUAUGCUCAUGGAAGUCCUGAAACCAAGUGCCACUCUCUGUGAAGGACAGGGGUCAUCUCCGUGUUUUCUACCACCGGGUGGUAGCACGAUGCUUCUUCACAGGCAGAUUUACAGAGCAUGCGUGCAGGUCAUGCUGCGGUCGCCUCACUGGGCGAUUCCAAGGAAUUGCUUUCUCAUCCACCAGCUAACAAUGGCAGCAAUUUGGGCCAAGUCGUCUGUGCCUAAACUCCGUUAAGCAAGCUUAAGCCCAUCACAGCGUUUUUGGGAAGGUGUAUAAGCACCAUAGGUUGGUAAAAUCUAGGAGUCACCGUCAUCGCUGGCCAAAGACGUAAGUUCUGGAAAGGUUCUGCCUUUGUUCACGAUUCAUUCACAUUUUCCAGCUAUUCCCCCUUAUGUCGUUUGUAUGUGGCAUCACUUGUGUCAUGAGAGAGAAUAGAAAUAAAUACACGCAUAAAGAACGAGACUUUGUUUACCGUGAUUCAACAUACAUAGGUAGCUGAGCUUCAUUGAACAAACAGCAGUGGCAGCCUUCUGUGACGCUGGUAAAAUCAAGUUGCUCCAGAACCUGGUGAUACUGAAAACAAAUUUCCUGGACAACUGUGAAGAAGAGCUGUGUAUAAGACUUCGCUGAGGGAACUGUCCAAAUCCGCAGAAUGACAUCCCAUGGAGAAAGGAGAACCUCGUCUGCCUGAUCACAAUGUCCUGAAAACGGUGCUCAGCUGAGAGCAGGCACUUGAUGGAUAUUUUGGAACGAAUUCAACUAUACGAGAACUCCAGUUUAUUUUGGAGCAUCAAUAUGCCAUCUUAAGAAGAAACUUGCAGCCUCAUUUUAGUCAGAAGUCAUCAUCUGACACAGUUCUGGCCAAGGAGAUGUAAGCAAUUAAUUGCCUGUUAGGAAGCCCUGGGAAGAGAUUGGUUCCUUGAAAUAGUGUCCCCAUUUUCUUUGCUAGUUCUUUCAUCUUAUUCUUUCUGCCUGGCUCAGUGGACUGAAGCCUGGAGGUGAGACAGCCGUUUUUCACCAUGAGACAAACAAGAUGACAGCUACUAGCUGCAGAUGGUGAUGCAACAAGAUGAAAGAAGCCUGGGGUACUGAUGACACCAGUCCUGGGCUGUCUGCCUCCAGGCUCCUUUUUUGUGUGUAUGUGAGAAAAAUCCAUCCCUAUUUGGUUAUGCCACCAAAUCAGAUCGCUUUUACAUGUAACCAAACAUAAUCCUAGCUGCUAGAAUUGCAUUUGAUGAUAUGUAAAAGUCACCUUGCUAUCACACCUCUUGUUUGUGGAUUCCUCUGGUGGCCGGGGAAAUUCCUAUUUAUCAUUUAGGACCCAACUCCAGUUGUGCCACCUCCUAGAUGCCUUUCACAGCGUCUACCCCGAGUACUGUUCCACCUCAGUGCUCCCCUUGUAGGGGGUACACUCGAAGAUGGACAGACACUCCUCCAGCAUCAUUCCGUGAGAGAUGCUGCCUCCCUCAUAGGACUGUCUGAAAUCUAAACCGUACCUGAACUUGUCCGUGGAUUCACCUUAUUACAAGGCUCUUCCCUUAGGAAAGUCUGAAAAAAUUUUGAUUCAUAGUCUAU